UUCAGAGGGUGCGAGCGUUAAUCGGAAUUACUGGGCGUAAAGCGUGCGUAGACGGUUUCGUAAGUCGGGUGUGAAAUCCCCGGGCUCAACCUGGGAAUUGCAUUCGAAACUGCGAGGCUAGGGUACGGAAGAGGGAAGCGGAAUUUCUGGUGUAGCGGUGAAAUGCGUAGAUAUCAGAAGGAACAUCAGUGGCGAAAGCGGCUUCCUGGUCCAGUACCGACGUUCAGGCACGAAAGCGUGGGGAGCAAACAGG
rnacentral:rRNA from 1 species